AUUGAACGCUGGCGGCAUGCCUUACACAUGCAAGUCGAACGGCAGCACGGGAGCAAUCCUGGUGGCGAGUGGCGAACGGGUGAGUAAAGUAUCGGAACGUGCCCAGUCGUGGGGGAUAACGUAGCGAAAGUUACGCUAAUACCGCAUACGAUCUAUGGAUGAAAGCGGGGGAUCGCAAGACCUCGCGCGAUUGGAGCGGCCGAUAUCAGAUUAGGUAGUUGGUGGGGUAAAGGCUCACCAAGCCGACGAUCUGUAGCUGGUCUGAGAGGACGACCAGCCACACUGGACUGAGACACGGCCCAGACUCCUACGGGAGGCAGCAGUGGGGAAUUUUGGACAAUGGGCGAAAGCCUGAUCCAGCCAUGCCGCGUGCAGGAUGAAGGCCUUCGGGUUGUAAACUGCUUUUGUACGGAACGAAAAGGUUUGGCCUAAUAAGCUGAGCUCAUGACGGUACCGUAAGAAUAAGCACCGGCUAACUACGUACCAGCCGCCGCUGUAA
rnacentral:rRNA from 1 species